AGGGUCUUGGGAUUGAGCCCCGCGUUGAGCUUUCUCUCUCUCUCUUUCUCAAAAGAAUACAUGAAAUCUUUAAAAAAAAAAUGUUUAAUAAAAAAAGAGGAGGAGGCAAGGCCAUCUGUUCGACGGUGUCAGGGGAAGUGAUAGGAUUUGGAAAGGAAGCUAUAGGUUGGGAGAACCUGCUGAACAGGUGGAAGAGGAAAAGGAGAAGCCAGCCUGGUGCAGAGGCCCGCUGAGGUCAGGGACCGUGAAAUUAGAGGGCAGAUCUGUGGGAUUGUGAAGUUUCCUCCAGCACGUGCGGCCGCCCAUGGGUAGGAGCCGAGAAGGCUGGGCCCAUCCGGGGGAGUCAUCUAGGUGUCAAGAGGGCAAGGAACUCCUCUCAGUUUUCUAGCAUUGGCUUUCCAUUUCUCCACCCGGAAGGUCAGCCCCCGCGCGGCCCCCAGACACAGAGGGGCAGUUAGUAACCCUGUGCUAACCGUGGCCCACUGACCCCCAGUUCCUGAGCCCUGGGCUCCCGGGCUUCUGUCCUGCCCCGUUCCACUUGGCCCCUCCUCUGCUCCGCCUGGUCUUGGGGUCCUGAGCCCCCUAGCGCCGCACAGGUGGGCCUUUGCUCUGAUCCUGUUUCUAAGUUUCUGUUCCAGCAUCCUCAGCCCUUCUGAGAUGUGGGGCCCUGUCUCGUAUGUGUAUGGAUGUUGAUACUAUUUAUCAUUUAUUUGUUUUUUUUUUCCCAGAUGAUAAAUAUGUUAUCUGCUCAUUGCAGAAAAUUUGGAAAAUACAGGAGUGACUACAAAAUCACCCAUCAUCUUACCUCCUGGGGAUAACUACGAUUAACAUCUAGAACCUUUCCAGUCUGCCAUUUGCAGCAAUAUAAAUGGAGCUGUCUAUCCUCUCCCGGUGGGUUGGCAUCACCCCCUGAAGUGUAAUCUGGGCUGCGGGACCUUCCGUGCCUGGGCCUCCUGGUGCCAGUCGUGCUUCCUCCCUUGCUGCGGAUUGUUUGUCUUCCCCCUUCCUGUAUGUCCCGCUAAACGUGAGAGCACCUUCUGGUGUCCUGGCCCAGGACCUCUGACGACAGAACAGUAGCUUAAGCUGGAAAAAAAUAAAAAAAUAAAAAAAUAAAACAGGUGUUUUAUUUUGAACUGACCCUGAUUAAUUCCACAUUUAAAAAAGUGCGCUUUUGUCCUGAUUCUAGAAAUAAUCGCUCAUUAUGAAAUAAUUGGAAAGUACAGAAGACCCUAAGGAGGAGAAGAAAGAAACAAUUCCACUACCCAGAGAUAAUCAUUGUUGGGUGUGCUUCCUUCCUGUGUAUAAUAUAUGCAUGUGGGCUUGCACAUAUAUGUACACAUAGGAGUUGAUAUAUAAU